GACGAACGCUGGCGGCGCGCUUAAUACAUGCAAGUCGAACGAGAAGCCAGAGCUUGCUCUGGUGGAAAGUGGCGAACGGGUGAGUAACACGUGAGAAACCUGCCCAAAGAUUGGGAUAAGUCUUGGAAACGAGGUCUAAUACCAAAUACCUUCUUUUUAACACAUGUCAAAAAGAAGAAAUGCUCCGGCGCUUUGGGAUGGUCUCGCGAUCUAUCAGCUUGUUGGUGAGGUAACGGCUCACCAAGGCAUCGACGGAUAGCUGGUCUGAGAGGAUGUCCAGCCACAUUGGAACUGAGACACGGUCCAAACUCCUACGGGAGGCAGCAGUAGGGAAUCUUGCACAAUGAGGGAAACCUUGAUGCAGCGACGCCGCGUGCGGGACGAAGGCCCUAGGGUUGUAAACCGCUUUCAGUAGGGACGAAAGUGACGGUACCUACAGAAGAAGCCCCGGCCAACUAUGUGCCAGCAGCCGCGGUAAU
rnacentral:rRNA from 1 species